rnacentral:rRNA from 1 species
AUUGAACGCUGGCGGCAGGCCUAACACAUGCAAGUCGAACGGUAACAGGAAGAAGCUUGCUUCUUUGCUGACGAGUGGCGGACGGGUGAGUAAUGUCUGGGAAACUGCCUGAUGGAGGGGGAUAACUACUGGAAACGGUAGCUAAUACCGCAUAACGUCGCAAGACCAAAAAGGGGGACCUUCGGGCCUCUUGCCAUCGGAUGUGCCCAGAUGGGAUUAGCUAGUAGGUGGGGUAACGGCUCACCUAGGCGACGAUCCCUAGCUGGUCUGAGAGGAUGACCAGCCACACUGGAACUGAGACACGGUCCAGACUCCUACGGGAGGCAGCAGUGGGGAAUAUUGCACAAUGGGCGCAAGCCUGAUGCAGCCAUGCCGCGUGUAUGAAGAAGGCCUUCGGGUUGUAAAGUACUUUCAGCGGGGAGGAAGGGAGUAAAGUUAAUACCUUUGCUCAUUGUCGUUACCCGCAGAAGAAGCACCGGCUAACUCCGUG